rnacentral:rRNA from 1 species
AAAUUGAAGAGUUUGAUCAUGGCUCAGAUUGAACGCUGGCGGCAGGCCUAACACAUGCAAGUCGAACGGUAACAGGAAGCAGCUUGCUGCUUCGCUGACGAGUGGCGGACGGGUGAGUAAUGUCUGGGAAACUGCCUGAUGGAGGGGGAUAACUACUGGAAACGGUGGCUAAUACCGCAUAACGUCGCAAGACCAAAGAGGGGGACCUUCGGGCCUCUUGCCAUCAGAUGUGCCCAGAUGGGAUUAGCUUGUUGGUGAGGUAAUGGCUCACCAAGGCGACGAUCCCUAGCUGGUCUGAGAGGAUGACCAGCCACACUGGAACUGAGACACGGUCCAGACUCCUACGGGAGGCAGCAGUGGGGAAUAUUGCACAAUGGGCGCAAGCCUGAUGCAGCCAUGCCGCGUGUAUGAAGAAGGCCUUCGGGUUGUAAAGUACUUUCAGCGGGGAGGAAGGUGUUGCGGUUAAUAACCGCAGCAAUUGACGUUACCCGCAGAAGAAGCACCGGCUAACUCCGUGCCAGCAGCCGCGGUAAUACGGAGGGUGCAAGCGUUAAUCGGAAUUACUGGGCGUAAAGCGCACGCAGGCGGUCUGUCAAGUCGGAUGUGAAAUCCCCGGGCUCAACCUGGGAACUGCAUUCGAAACUGGCAGGCUUGAGUCUUGUAGAGGGGGGUAGAAUUCCAGGUGUAGCGGUGAAAUGCGUAGAGAUCUGGAGGAAUACCGGUGGCGAAGGCGGCCCCCUGGACAAAGACUGACGCUCAGGUGCGAAAGCGUGGGGAGCAAACAGGAUUAGAUACCCUGGUAGUCCACGCCGUAAACGAUGUCUACUUGGAGGUUGUGCCCUUGAGGCGUGGCUUCCGGAGCUAACGCGUUAAGUAGACCGCCUGGGGAGUACGGCCGCAAGGUUAAAACUCAAAUGAAUUGACGGGGGCCCGCACAAGCGGUGGAGCAUGUGGUUUAAUUCGAUGCAACGCGAAGAACCUUACCUGGUCUUGACAUCCACAGAACUUUCCAGAGAUGGAUUGGUGCCUUCGGGAACUGUGAGACAGGUGCUGCAUGGCUGUCGUCAGCUCGUGUUGUGAAAUGUUGGGUUAAGUCCCGCAACGAGCGCAACCC